rnacentral:piRNA from 1 species
CUAGAAAACUGGUCUUCGAUGUGUCA